CUUUUUUGCCUACUCGCUCGCUCGGUGUACAGCGGCCAGUUCAGUCUGCUCGCUGAUUUCGUUGCGUUACGUUUACGCUUACGUUGCUGCUGUGUUCCAUUCUGUUGUGUUCGGUGUUCGUUUUUUCGGUAUUUCUUUUGGUCAGUGUCUAGUAUUAGUUCGAGACACCAUCCGUACGUUAAUUUUUAAAAGUCGACGAGAAAUAAGAACAAAAGCUGGAGCUGGUUAAAUAAAGAGAAAGAGCAAAAAGAGAAGAAUCGUCAGAACAAAACACAAAAAUAACAAACCAACCAACCAACAAACAACAUCAACUAAUAUCAAAUUUAAUGUUAAGCAUAAUUAAUAACAACAAAUUAAAAUCGUAUAAUUAAAGCUAUACAUAAAGUAAUAUUAAUAAUGAUCUAGUAAGUUAAUCAUAAAGUACAAAA